UGCAACGUCGGCCUGAAUGAGGGGGACGCAACGGAGGCAUGUUGGAGCCCCUGCCGUCGCGAUGACCCGCGGUAACCAGCGAGAGCUCGCCCGCCAGAAGAACAUGAAGAAGCAGAGCGACUCGGUUAAGGGAAAGCGCCGAGAUGAUGGGCUUUCUGCUGCCGCCCGCAAGCAGAGGGACUCGGAGAUCAUGCAGCAGAAGCAGAAAAAGGCAAACGAGAAGGAGGAACCCAAGUAGCCUUGUGGCUUCGUGUCCAACCCUCUUGCCCUCCGCCUGUGUGCCUGGAGCCAGUCCCACCAUGCUCGAGUUUCUUCCUGUAGUGCUCACAGGUCCCAGCACCGAUGGCAUUCCCUUUGCCCUGAGUCUGCAGCGGGUUCCUUUUGUGUUUCCUUCCCCUCCCUCUGGGCCACUCCUGGGGGUGAGGGGGUUACCCCUUCCCAGUGUUUUUUAUUCCUGUGGGGCACACCCCAAAGUAUUAAAAGUAGCUUUGUAAUU